rnacentral:lncRNA from 1 species
UUCCUCAAAGAAAAAUGCUUGGGGAACGGGUAAUUGGAAUGAACUACAAGCAUUUUCACUGAGCUCAAAGAAACUGCAAGAAAAAAGAUCUUCGAUCUGCAUCCAAGUAUUUUUUUUGUCUGAAAGAACACUGUGUGAGGAAUUUUGACAUUCUCUGCAUUCUAAUGAAAAUGACUUGGAAAGUAGAGGCUUCUCUAUACAUUUGCCUCAUUGCCGCCACGAUGGGCACCGUUUAUCAGGAAUAAAGAGAGAAGAUCAAGAAAGUAGUUCUUUUCUGGAGAAUUUUGUGCUCUGGCUCUUAAGUACUUUUGCUUUGCCAUGAAUGUGAAUAUUUUAAAGGCCAAAAAAGCCCCCUCCAUUUGAGUUGCAGAUGGCCACAGGAACCCAACAAGAAUGCUAACAACUCAUUUUAAAAAGGGAAAAAGAAAGGAAGUGCCAAGUUCCACACUGCAUAUCCAUACUGAUGUUGAGCCCAUCUUGGCCUAGCUGGUAGAACUGAAAAUUGAGAAUAAUAUUAAGGGGCUGCAAUGAUCCCUAAGGGUAAAAAUAAAUGUGUUUCUGAAAACAACAGCCACAUCCACAAUGAAAUAGACAUGAAACAAGAUAACCCAAGAACACAUUUGUUUUCCUUGUAACAGGGAUGCGUUAAGUUCAUUAUUCAGAGGACUUUGAUUACCCUUUUCAAAGAUUUUUGGGUGACAGUGAUCCAGGAUGAAGGUCCUUUGACUAUACAUUUCAGCGUUCAAUUGAGUGUUGGAAGCAAUCAGAAGACUGGAAGCAAUUUACUAAUAAGAGAACAUGCCCUACAGCUCUGGCCUGUGAAAAGAGUUUCAGAAUCACGAUGUAGCCACAAGUCAAAUUCUAGAAAGAAUUAAUGGCACAUCUCAUAGUUCUUUCAUUUGCUGGCUGAUUCAUUCCAGAGUGGUUUUGAGGACAGAAUGAAGCAAGAUGAAAAACAGCACUUUGAAAAUGGAGUGUGUGGUAUUCAUCUUAGAUACACUUUUAGAGAAGAAGAAAUGUGUCUCAGAAAAAGGACCUCUUCUGACUCAAAUUUAGCUUACAUCCCCUUCUCAACCAUAUCCCAGGUGAUAAAAUAUGACACCCAGGUAAGCAGUGGCCUUGUGGACUCUGAAGAAGUUCUUAACGUGUCCACGGCACAUUCUCAUUUUGUCUGGCUCUAAACUACUGUCUCAAGAAAGCUGCAAAUAUUUGAAAGUAACAAUAAAGUGUUAACAGUAA